ACACACCACACACCACACACACACACAUAUGCUCACACCCUUGCACUUGAUUUCCAGUCCCCCUCCAUCUGCACCUCUUGCCCUUUUUCAUUGCACAUUUAAUGUAAUAUACAGACAUUGUUAAUUGUAAGGAUAUUUUCCUUAACUGAAGAUAAAGUAGACAAGUGUUUAUUUUAAUAGAUGUUUUAUCUUGGACACACAUGCACGCACAAACAUGUAUACCACAGUCCUGGCUCUGGGCAUGAAAUGGGUGGGUCGGUGUGGGAGGUUUGUGGAUGGCAGCAGGGGUUAAAAAAAAAGGCCUCAUAUACUGUAUAUAAACAAUACAGUACAGUUUCUGUAUUACUCACAGUGUUGGUUCUGUUACCAAAGCCAAACUAUGAUGUAGUUGUGAUGAGCCAUCCUCAGAGGCAAUAAUGUAUUCUGACUCUCUUCUCUCUCUGGAUAUUUUGUUGUUUCUCUGUCCUCUUGCUUGUUUCUCCUCCCUGUCUGCAUAUUCUGGGGGGGAAUUCAGUAGCACCUAAAUGGGUCGAGUCAUGUAGCCUUUCUCCCCGGUCUCCUGCUUGCUGUAAUUUUGCAUUCAUGAACGUGUUGCUACCCUCCACCGGAAAGUCUGACCACUUCACCCUACCCCUGACUCCAGUUCAAUGAAAACACCACAAAAGUUACCAAAAAAGAAGACAAGAAAGUAUAUAUGCUAGUAUAUUAUUAUACUAGCAUGUUUACUAGUUUAAUAUGCUAACUGGGGUUAAAGAAAAGAAAAAUCAUAGAAAAUACUACAAAAACAUCCUGUAUAACAGUACUACUACUUGAAUGCCUCUGUUUGUGACUGAAAUUUUUAUUUCAUUUGUUUUUUGUUUUUUCUUUUGUUCUGUGAAGGUAUGCUAAAUGUGCGCCUCUGUAAAUAUUCCCUCUGCGUGCUCUGAGGAAUAGUUCCCUGGUACUGUAAUUUGCAUUAAAUAAAGAGUAGGAUAGCCUGGAAAUGAUAAAACACUUUGUCUGUUACAUCUUAUUUUGGCAAGUGUGCUUUUGUCUCUAUAUUGAGCCAAUUAAAUUAUCUUUGUAAAGCAAAAUUGAAGCCAGUAGUUUCGAGUCUAGUUUCAGUUGCAUCAAAUUUUAAGAAUGAUGAUGUGUUCAUAUUUGUUGACAAGCUAGCAUGACGAGCAUCCCUGGAAAACAGCUAAUGCUACGAACUCUGUACUGUGGUGGCCCUGGAGGUCAAAACGUGACAAUUCACAAAACACAAAACAUUUCAGAUUACGGUAAGGCUCGGACAGCACUUCUUGUUUGUGAUUGGAUGGAGUCAAUAGUUUGUUUAAAUGUCAGCGAAAUGCAGCUGGAGGGCAGGCUGGGAGGAGUGGAGCUGGAUAUUCCCUGAUCCUGAUUCUGUGUGCAGUGACCACCCUGUCAAAGGUAAAGUAGCUUAUGUGGCUGUAUUUAUAUAGCUAUAGUUUCUUUGGACUACUUUGUAACGUUAAAGUUACUGUUUUUUCUUUGCAGUGUUAAGAGUUUGGAUCCCUGUGACUGACCUACAAUAUAGAUGUGAGCCCAUGUUGGAAGUGCAGUCUAUGACAGAAGAUGAGGUCCAGAGAUGAUAAACAGAGAUACACAGGUGGCGCAGAGGCCUCGCUGGAUCUCCAUGAGUCAGCCGAGAAUCCAGAGCCAGUGGGCAUUACUGAGAUGUUCAACAAGAAACGUCAUGCUGUGAUGUGCUUAAACUACAAUAUCUCAAUGAUGUCACAAUAAGAUAAGAGAGAGAAGAAAUGGUAAGAGGAAUGUAAGCUGUACUGCACAAGAUGUUCUGAUGUCCUGAUAUUGCGUAAUACUGUUUCCUCUGCCAAACUGGUAUGUUUUCUGUAGCUGGACACUUCAGAGUUUAUUCCUACACCACAAAUAAUUACCAAAAGAAAAAUGAGAGGCCAUAUUCACAUCACCAUCCUUCCCUGGGGUUGACUGUAGUCAGUAAACCAUGGUUCGGUUACUUUGACCAGUGACUACACUGGUAAUGUAGUAAAAGCAUGAAAAUAAGCAUUGUUACUAUGGUUAUGUGGCAUUUAAUAUACCUUACACACUGACCUAGAACAGAGGCAAUAUUGUUGAUCAGAACUAUGUUUAAAAUGAUCUGAAUUAUUCCCUGUAAUGUAAUCCUAAAUAUUCCAUUAACCUGGCAGCCAAAGGCAGAGCAUACACAGCUGGAAGACAAUGAAUGAAUGGCACCUGCAUUUUGUUUCAUCUUAAAAGGAGCAGCAGCACCAGUUUGACAACAUUCUGAGGAACCACAGAGACUGGAGGAGGAGGACGACAACGAGGAGGAAGAGGAGAAGCAGAAGAAGUUGGCAUAUGAGGAUGUUUGGGGGGCUGUGGCAGAUUUACUAGUGUCAGUGCAAGAGUUUGUAGGACAGUCCA